AACGCGGAUCUCGAGCGUUAUCCGGAAUUAUUGGGCGUAAAGGGUCCGUAGGCGGUGCCGUAAGUGUAAGGUUAAAGACCCAUGCUUAACGUGGGGAGUGCCUUGCAUACUGCGGUGCUAGAGUCUGUGAGAGGCUAGUGGAACUUAAGGAGUAGGGAUGAAAUCCGUUGAUCCCUUAGGGAACACCAAAGGCGAAGGCAACUAGCUAGCACGGUACUGACGCUGAGGGACGAAAGCGUGGUGAGCGAAACGG
rnacentral:rRNA from 1 species